AGAGCCAACUCAGCACUCUCCUUAGAGGGCAGACCACGGGGGUGGUCCCCUAAUGCCGGAAGGCAGGAGGAAUGGGGAAUCAGCCAUGGAUGGGAGACUGACGUUUCUUUGGCAUUUUCCUAUUUCUUGAAAAGCCAAAACAGGGCUGGCUGUCCCCUCUCUUCCCAGUAAACAGAUCACCCUAGGGUAAGUGCCUAUGUGGUAGAUCUUUAGUUUUUGCUUUUGUUUUUUAAUUUCCAAAGAUAGGAGGGGUACUUGCGUCAGAAUGGCCCAGGGUGCUCGUUAAAGAUGCAAGUCACUGUCUCUCUGAGCCUUAGUUUCCUCUUCUGUAAAAUGGAAAAGGAGGGGCACCGGUAUUUGUACUUGACCAGAGAACUGGAUGCUACUGAGGGCUCUGCAGGCUGAGAGCCCCCAAUGUGGACUGCACAACCUUUGACCCCAUUCUGCUUCUACACCACAGCGUAUCAGACAGCUGACCAUUGAUCAUUGGAUCCUUGGGCAACUCACCUCUUGGGUGCUUGGGAUCAAAGAUGCCAAAAGCAAUUGUCAGAUACAGAAAGGGUAUUUGGAGGUUUGCCUUGUUCUCUGCAUGAGACAACCAAAACAGUGCAUUGUCAUUUGCAGAGUAUCAGAUCCAAGAGGACUCUACUAAGCAAGCAGUUUCUGAGCGUAAAAGCAAAGCUGCAGAGUCAGAUGGCCUGGGCUUAAGAAUCGGGUUCCACGGCCACUUACCAGCAAAAGGACUUGGAACUCGUCACUGAACUUCGCUGUGCCUCAGUGUCCUCAACUGUAAAAAUAAGAUGAUAAUAGAACCGCACUCCUGGAAGGAUUAUAUGAGAUUAUAUGCACAGGUUCUCUCACUCUCACCCUGACGCAGAUGAAUUCCUAAUGAGAUUUUAGUUGUUAUUAUUGAGGCUUACUUCUAACUAAAUGCCGUGCUGGAUGCCUUAGCUGAUUCUGUCAUGUAAUCCUCAUCACCACCAUGUCUAGUAAGUAUAUUUUUGUCCCAUUUUACAGAGGAAAGAAUUGAGACUCAAAGAGAUGAGGUAACUGGUCCAAGGUUAAAGAAGCAGUAAGGAUCGGAGCCAUUAGUUUACUCAUAAAAUAUUUAAUGCUCUCGGUGUGCCAGGUGCUAUUCUAGGCAUUGAGGGUUUUGUGGUACACAAGAUAGACAAUGUUUCUGGUCUUAUGACAAUCACAUCCAGUUGGGGGAGAUUAGGUCUCAGCACCACUCAUACUGCCUCCUUGAGGGGUGAUCGUUCUUAUCAUUGUUCUUGAGCACAUGGCUGGGCAGAAGGAAUCCAGCAGAGGGUUGGAGGCCGGAAUAGUAUGAAGUGUCCAGAAAUAAAUCCUGGUUAUCCAGAGAGGGGGAUAUUUCUUAUGGUGACCUUGGCCCAGUUGAAUGCCCUCUGCCUCUCCCCACUCCCAUCCCUGUGUCUGGGUCUCUGGUCUCUGUACUUAGCAGAACUUGCUGAGAAGAACUCUGAACCUGGGGAUGGGGGAGCAGGUUGAGGGUGGGAUAUAGACCAUCAGGUUCCGAGUGAGGCUUGCAGAGCUUGCAAACUAUGAGUAGAAACAACACUCAUUUUAUAGUCAAAUCUAGCCUUUGCUGCCUGUGACUCCUGAAAACAUUUCCCAAAAUUCACUGAGACCUCCCAUCACUGGGAGGGAGAGCUGCCUCUGCC
rnacentral:lncRNA from 1 species